GAUGAACGCUGGCGGCGUGCUUAACACAUGCAAGUCGAACGGAAAGGCUCCUGCUUGCAGGGGUACUCGAGUGGCGAACGGGUGAGUAACACGUGGUGAUCUGCCCUGCACUUCGGGAUAAGCCUGGGAAACUGGGUCUAAUACCGGAUAGGACCACAUUUUGGAUGGUGUGGUGGAAAGUUUUUCGGUGUGGGAUGAGCUCGCGGCCUAUCAGCUUGUUGGUGGGGUAAUGGCCUACCAAGGCGUCGACGGGUAGCCGGCCUGAGAGGGUGUACGGCCACAUUGGGACUGAGAUACGGCCCAGACUCCUACGGGAGGCAGCAGUGGGGAAUAUUGCACAAUGGGCGCAAGCCUGAUGCAGCGACGCCGCGUGGGGGAUGACGGCCUUCGGGUUGUAAACUCCUUUCGCUAGGGACGAAGCGCAAGUGACGGUACCUGGAGAAGAAGCACCGGCUAACUACGUG
rnacentral:rRNA from 1 species